GGAUGCGAUCAUACCAGCACUAAAGCACCGGAUCCCAUCAGAACUCUGAAGUUGAGCGUGCUUGGGCGAGAGUAGUACUAGGAUGGGUGACCUCCUGGGAAGUCCUCGUGUUGCAUUCC
rnacentral:rRNA from 1 species